UUAAGCAUAUCACUGAGCGCAGGAGAAGAAACUAACCAGGAUUUCCCUAGUAACGGCGAGCGAACCGGAAAGAGCCCAGCUUGAAAAUCGUGGCGCCCCGGCGCCUCGAAUUGUAGUCUGGAGAAGGUCCCUCUGCGGCGCGCCGGAUUCAAGUUCCCUGGAAUGGGACGUCCGAGAGGGUGAGAACCCCGUCGUAUCCGGAGUGCGUCGCUCCACGAGGACCUGUCUGCGAGUCGGGCUGUUUGGGAAUGCAGCCCUAAGCGGGUGGUAAAUUCCAUCCAAGGCUAAAUAUUGGCAAGAGACCGAUAGCGAACAAGUACCGCGAGGGAAAGAUGAAAAGGACUUUGAAAAGAGAGUUAAAAAGUGCUUGAAAUUGCUGGGAGGGAAGCGAAUGGAAGCUGCGGGUGCGCCCCGGUUGAAUGUGGAACGGCCGUCAAACGCUGGUCCGCCGCUCAACGCGGGGCGCUGGUCAGCGUGGGCCAUCGCGGCGGGACAAGAGCGGGGAUUCGCUUCCCGCCGAUGCCGCCGCGGUGGCCGAGGAACGAAGCGCGCGCCUUCCGGCGUGGGACUCGUCCCAACUGCGCGCUCGAGACGCUGGCGUAUUGAGCUCUUCAUCCGACCCGUCUUGAAACACGGACCAAGGAGUCUAACAUGUAUGCGAGCCGGUGGGCGGCAAACCCAUUGAGGCGCAAGUAACCUGACAGGUGGGACCCCGCUUGCGGGAGCACCAUCGACCGACCGUGAUCUUCUGUGAAGGGUUC
rnacentral:rRNA from 1 species